UUUCAAAGAGAGUAGGAGAACCGAUCAAGAGAAUGGAGAAGGGUGAAGGAUGGAUGGAAAUGAGGAGAAGAAAAGGAUUUUGGGAUGAUUGUCUCAGAUUUUACAAAUUAGGGCUUGAGAUUUUGAUGGAGAGCAAGAAGGAGAUAGUUUUGAUUAAGGAUAUGUCGAGAGAAUGUGUUUACCCUAGAAUUUGAGGUAGAAAUUCAAAAUUUUUGGGUGGUUAAAGGGAUGGAUUUAUGGCCGAUGGAGAGUUAGAAGAAGAGUUUUCGGUUU
rnacentral:lncRNA from 1 species